AGAGAAGGGCAGGGAGUCAGCUGGCUUUGUUCAAACCUGAGUAUUUCCUUUUGUAUAUCACAUAUAUAUGAUGUAUUGAUAUAUGAAUGAAAGGAAUUAAAGGAUUUGAAAAAAAAAACAACAAACUAUUUCUCUGUUAUGAAUUGUGUGGAUGCAGAUGUAUUCAGCUCAUAAAGAGAACAGGAACAGGACAGAACCCAGAAAUUCGUAUUUAACUAAUGCACAUCAUGCUUUAAUGUAAAUGUAUGGUUUAAUAUAAUUUUAAAAUAUGUUCUGUGUGGAUGCACAACCUGAGAGAGAGAGAGAUACAGAAAAGAUUUACAUUAAAAGGAAUAAAAAGGUAAUUUUCCCAGUAAUAAUCCUGGGACAUGAUUUUGUAAGAGCAACUAGAGCUUAUUCCUCAGCUGACCUAUUGCUGAAAUGGACGGCAAAAGAAGUUUUUAAUGCUUGUUGUAACAAAGGGUGGUGGUUUUUUUACUGGCUUUGCCUGCUCAUGGUCUGUAGUGGUCUGGACACCUGCAAGUCAGUCUCUGGAGAGAUGGAAUGUGCCUUGUCUCCACUACCCUUAAUAACUGCUGUACCUGACACGUGCUAAUACAUGUUAAAACUCAGUUACAAUCUAUUUAAACCUUCAAAGAGUUUUACAUGCAGAAAUAUUCUGACCUGGAGGAAAUCUUAAAUUAUUGUGGCAUAAAGCUUUUGUAGAGGAACAGAGAAGGUAUCUGCUUUUCUGGAAAAAAAAUUAUAGUAACAUAUAAGAAUAUCUUCUGAGUCCAAACCAAAAGCAUAGGGAAAGGCCAAAUGUUAACAUAUUUUGAUUUUAACUGAAAAACCUCCAUCCAGAGCAGAGUAUUCAGUGAACAUUCAAUAGCUGCAAAUAUCCUGCAGCCUCCUUCAACCAAAAGAAACUUGUGCACCUCCAGGAGGUAAAUCUUAUUUCUUCUGUCAAGUUUUCAGGAAAAAAAAUCCUUUUCCUUGAUAUAACUAAAUUGUUCCACCAACACUGCAGUUUUCCAAGAUCUUCCAGUAAAUCUGCAAGGGCAUGAAAAUGCAGAGAUAGUGUGAUGAGCAUUGUUAUUCACACUUGCUGCAGCUUUCAGAACAGACCCACAUUCACAAGCAGCACUCUCAGAAAUACCCCACACAGGGGAUAAUGCCUGCAUCCAUCUCCCUCUUGCCAAACUUUGGAUCAGGUGCAGCUCAGUAAAUUGAUGCUGUUGUCGUUGCCUGUACAGUGAAGAUGGAUUCAGAGUCACUUCUUGCCCCUGUCCUCCUCUCAUCUCCAUCUGGAGCCUGGCAAAAACGGAACCCUUUGACCCAAAUAGCUGCCUGCAAUCCAUGUCUCCAAAAGGAAUUUUUAAAAAAAUCUUUUAUUACAGAUGUUUUAUUACAUAAAACAAAAAAAAUUCCCUGAAGUAAUCAUAGUGACCACCCAGGUCAAAUGAAGAAAGGACUCAAUUCCCCACUGCUCACCUUCAGCACAUUGCUAUAAAGGUAAUCACAAUAUCAAGCAAUAUUGCUUUCAUCUUCCCAAGUGUCAGCUUUUAUUGUGGCUAAUAUUUUUCUGACAGGGUCCAUGUGAUAUAGGACUCCAAUAAGUCAGCCUUCUGAAGCAAUUUCUUCCACUGUUCCACUACAGUCAGCCUUUUUAAUCCAAGAAACACCAUAUCUGCUGGAGAAGGACAGAUGUGUCUGGCCUCCACAAUAAACACUUGGCUUGGCAGGAUAAAGCAAUGCAUAUUCCAGAUCCAUAUUUUUUCCACUCUUGUUUUAACAGUCACAGAGGCUUUUCCCAUUGCCCAGUGAGAGCAGGUCUAUCUCAGAGCAAAACAAGUUUCCUGAAGCUCUGACAGCGAGCACCCAGAUGUCAGCUCUGAUUACACUGCUUGGCCCCUCGUUGCACCAGCCACCAGCUCCACAAGUACAUCCUGGAACAUUGUCAGAGUGACCUUCAUGGGAAGGCUGUCCACCCCAGGAAACAAAGAACAUGUUUUUAUAAUUGCCUGCCUCUAUCACCUUCACUUUGUGUGUCUUAUCUCUGGAAUCAGCACUAUUCUGACUGUAGUUGAGGAGUCCAAUUGUAGACAAACAGUGUAAAUGGGGAAGAAAUAAUACAGAAAUAAAAUACUAAAGAACAAAAUAAUACAGAAUAAAAUAAUACAGAAGCAGUCCUUCAUUACCCAUAUAAUGAUAAAGUUGUCAUGAGUUCAGUUUUGACCCCUACCCUUGUUCUCAUCCCAAGUUUUGUGGCUGCUUUUAAUUUUAUUUUACUUGUCACAUCCUUCUGAUAAAGUUUUUGAUUUUUCUGUCCUUCUUGUGCUUUAGGAUGUCUCACCUCCCACAAAUGAUAGGACUGAAUAAAUCCUCUGGGCCCUGUCCCAGGAGGUAAGGGCAUUAUCUAACAAGGGUUCAGGGGCUCAUCACUCUCACUCUCAAAUGCAUUUUCUCUCUAUGGGGAAGACUUCUCCUUAAAUGACACACAAAACUUGGCACGAUGAAUCUCUAAACAAGCUACAUGAUCCUAGAUUUGCAGGAUCAGGCAGCUUAGUGCUGCUCAACUUAAAAUACUGCCUUGUACACUGAUACCCAUUUCAGCCUCCUACACCACCAAGCAAACCCUACAGAGCACGAGCUCGAAGGCUGCCGAGAAGGUUUGACACCGUUUAAUAAAUCAGCCCUUUGUGAUGAUAUUAAACUGAAGGCAGACAGGCAUGUCUUUCUGCUAGCAGACACUUGGGAGUGAAAUUAUGGUCUUUGGGGGAUCCAGGAAUAUUCUCUUUCAGUCACUGGGGAGUGCCUGUAUUCCCAGAAACUGAUAGCAUUAACCUUCUCUCCUCUCCUCUGAGUAAAUACGAGCAUCCUAUUGCAAAAACAACAAGAGUAGGAGUUCCCAAAGCACUGUGCCACCAGCAUCUCUCUGCCAUCCUCACCCCACACACCUGCCUGCUCCUUCUGGCACUGCUCCGGAGCACUGCUGGGAGUGUUUAUUCAACUCCUUCCAAAUGCUUCAGCAGUUUGUUUUGCAAAAAUUUAUGCCUUAGAUAUGGCACCGUGAUUUAUGAUAUAAAAAAUAAAUUAAGGUUUAUAAUGCAUGAGCUCCCAUCCUCUCCAAAGUAAUGAGAUUUUGAUAGAUGUUUCACUUUUAAACUCUCAGACCCUACAGAUAGAUGAGGAAGACAUUCUAGAGUGUGCCCAUCUGGAUCAACACUGGAAUUCCCAGGCCUUAUCCUGCAGCUCAGUGGAUCAGGUGGGAUCACUCCCAGGCAGCACAAGGCAAAAUCUGUUACUACAAAAGGAGAAGGAAGGGGCUUUGCUG